UCAGCAGCAGCCAGCGGCUGGUGGGUCCCCAGUGCAGAGCCUCGCGCCUGGAGAGUGCUGCAGCUGAGAACCCGGGCGUGCAGGGGGAUGAGCUGUUCUGUGUCGGGCCCCCCAGCACAUACCAGGUCCCUUAUUGGGAGCAGCCCCGCCUGCCCAGCUACGAGAGCGUGCGGAAGAAGGAUCGCCAACGGGAGAUCCACCAGAUGAUUGCCGACAGGUUCGGGCUGUGGGCAGAGCCUUCCCAGGAGAUGCCGCCUCCCUAUGAGCAUGCUCUGAGGCAUCCUCCAGCUUUCUCAGGACCAGUGAUAAGCUCAGAGACCUUGGACAGACGUGGCGUUCCAGACUCUUUCCAGGCCCCUCCUGGCUACCAACCUCAGCGAAACACAGCCGUGUAAGGCCUCGGUGUGCUGCUUCUUCCUGUGGUGUCAGCGGCAGAAGUGCCUGUGACAUCGUUCUCAUCCGCAGGGAAUGGCCAAAUGUCAGACCUUUGCCCAGGUUUGCCAUCAGCUGAGACACAGGCAAGUCAGACCUGGCCAGCAGAGACAUCCCUCCUGCAGCACAAGGACAACCACGGAGCCACUGCCAGGCAGAGCAACUAGGGAUGUGUGCUCACUCUUUGGCAAACGUACUGUCACCAAAGGCAAGAGACCAGCUGCUUGCUUCCACACAGGGGGCAAAGCCAAGGAGAAGGUCUGCUCAGCCAGAGCUCCUCCAGGCAGCUGGUGUAUGGCACCUCUGUGAGGCGAGCACUGCCAGCUGGACCAAGGAUCAGACCUCAGACAGUCACAGUGUUGUGCUACUUCACUUAUUUCUUAGGUUAUGAAAUGUUUUACUUUAUCAGUGUAUUGGCUGCCAGGUGGGAAUCCUCACCUGAGAGCAGCAGAACGGGUCAGCAUGAGAGCACUGCUGUGUGCUCCUGCAGCAAUGGUCCUCUGUGACCAACAGCGAUGUUGUAUGGACUUUACAUAAAGAUCUGGAGAGGCUCCAGGGGUAGUGUCACCUGCUAUAUGCAAAUCCCAACCACAGAGAAUGAACUGUGUGACUGGGAAAGGACAGAAAUGCAGCCAAAAUAGCUGGUGAACUACGAACCACAGGGAAUGUAAAGCAAAGGUGGACAGGCGUGGCUGACCUGAUUUACUUAGUUGUCUUCUGCAGAGCAGACAAUCUAACAGCAUCCACACCGGUGUCCUUACACCACCAAUUUUGAUAACCUGUUUUCUACUGCAGAGCCAAUGUUUCAAAUUGUUUACAAACAAUGAUAAAAUUGAGAUAAAAUGAGAUCAGU
rnacentral:lncRNA from 1 species